ACUGGGCAUGAUGGCACAUUCCUAUAAUCCAUGCUAUUGGAGAGGCAGAAGCUGGAGGAUCUCUUGAUCACUAGAGUUUUGAGCUUCAAUGAACUAAGCUAGUUUUGUGUCCUAUGAUAAGUUUGACAUUAAUAUAGUGAUCCCUCAGGAAUGACGGGCUACCAGAUGGCCUAAGGAAGAAUGAACCGUCCCUGGUCAGAAACAGAGCAGGUCAAAGCUACUGUGUUGAUCAGUGGGACUGGGCACACUUAUAGUCCUUGUGUUUUAGGCCUAGGUGACAUAAGAAGACCCAGUCUUU
rnacentral:SRP_RNA from 1 species